UACGUGAGCCCCGAGCGUUAUCCGGAAUUACUGGGCGUAAAGUGUGCGUAGGCGGUCAUGUUAGUCUUCUGUUAAAUCCACCGGCUCAACCGGUGAACCCCAGAGGAAACGGCAUGACUUGAGUGUGUGAGAGGUUUGCGGAACUUAUGGUGUAGGGGUGAAAUCCGUUGAUAUCAUAGGGAACACCAAUGGCGAAGGCAGCCCCCUGGGAUAACACUGACGCUCAUGUACGAAAGCGUGGGUAGCAAACAGG
rnacentral:rRNA from 1 species